rnacentral:pre_miRNA from 1 species
GAGACACCCUUAUGGGGCAGGACUUGUUUCAGUGGGGCUUUGGGGCUCACUGAGUCUGCCUGUUUUGAGCGUGUCACU